GAUGAAACGCUGGCGGCAUGCCUAAUACAUGCAAGUCGAACGAAGUCUUUAGGAAGCUUGCUUCCAAAAGAGACUUAGUGGCGAACGGGUGAGUAAACACGUAGGUAAACCUGCCCAUGUGCCCGGGAUAACUGCUGGAAACGGUAGCUAAAAACCGGAUAGGUAUGAGGGAGGCAUCUUCCUCAUAUUAAAAGCACCUUCGGUGUGAACAAUGGAUGGACCUGCGGCGCAUUAGCUGGUUGGUGAGGUAAACGGCCCACCCAAGGCGAUGAUGCGUAGCCGACCUGAGAGGGUGAACGGCCACAUUGGGACUGAGACACGGCCCAAACUCCUAC
rnacentral:rRNA from 1 species